CGAUUGACUAAGGUUUCCAGAGGAAGGCUCGUCCGCUCUGGGUUAGUCGGGUCCUAAGCUGAGGCCGACAGGCGUAGGCGAUGGAUAACAGGUUGAUAUUCCUGUACCACCAUUAUUCGUUUUAAGCGAUGGGGGGACGCAGUAGGAUAGGCGAAGCGUGCUGUUGGAGUGCACGUCCAAGCAGUGAGAUUGAGUGUUAGGCAAAUCCGGCACUCUUAAGAUUGAGCUGUGAUGGGGAGAGGAACUUGUUCCUCGAGUCGUUGAUUUCACACUGCCGAGAAAAGCCUCUAGCUAGAAUAACGGUGCCCGUACCGCAAACCGACACAGGUAGUCAAGAUGAGAAUUCUAAGGUGAGCGAGCGAACUCUCGUUAAGGAACUCGGCAAAAUGACCCCGUAACUUCGGGAGAAGGGGUGCUCUUUGAGGUUCACGCUUCGAAGAGCCGCAGUGAAUAGGCCCAAGCGACUGUUUAUCAAAAACACAGGUCUCUGCUAAACCGUAAGGUGACGUAUAGGGGCUGACGCCUGCCCGGUGCUGGAAGGUUAAGAGGAGUGGUUAGCGCAAGCGAAGCUACGAAUCGAAGCCCCAGUAAACGGCGGCCGUAACUAUAACGGUCCUAAGGUAGCGAAAUUCCUUGUCGGGUAAGUUCCGACCCGCACGAAAGGCGUAACGAUUUGGGCACUGUCUCAACGAGAGACUCGGUGAAAUCAUAGUACCGGUGAAGAUGCCGGUUACCCGCGACAGGACGGAAAGACCCCGUGGAGCUUUACUGUAGCCUGAUAUUGAAAUUCGGUACAGUUUGUACAGGAUAGGUAGGAGCCUUAGAAGCGUGAGCGCUAGCUUACGUGGAGGCAUUGGUGGGAUACUACCCUAAUUGUAUUGGAUUUCUAACCCGCAGCACUUAUCGUGCUGGGAGACAGUGUCAGGCGGGCAGUUUGACUGGGGCGGUCGCCUCCUAAAGAGUAACGGAGGCGCUCAAAGGUUCCCUCAGAAUGGUUGGAAAUCAUUCAUAGAGUGUAAAGGCAUAAGGGAGCUUGACUGCGAGACCUACAAGUCGAGCAGGGUCGAAAGACGGACUUAGUGAUCCGGUGGUUCCGCAUGGAAGGGCCAUCGCUCAACGGAUAAAAGCUACCCCGGGGAUAACAGGCUUAUCUCCCCCAAGAGUUCACAUCGACGGGGAGGUUUGGCACCUCGAUGUCGGCUCAUCGCAUCCUGGGGCUGUAGUCGGUCCCAAGGGUUGGGCUGUUCGCCCAUUAAAGCGGUACGCGAGCUGGGUUCAGAACGUCGUGAGACAGUUCGGUCCCUAUCCGUCGUGGGCGUAGGAAAUUUGAGAGGAGCUGUCCUUAGUACGAGAGGACCGGGAUGGACAUACCUCUGGUGUACCAGUUGUCGUGCCAACGGCAUAGCUGGGUAGCUAUGUAUGGACGGGAUAAGUGCUGAAAGCAUCUAAGCAUGAAGCCCCCCUCGAGAUGAGAUUUCCCAACUUC
rnacentral:rRNA from 1 species